UCUCAAGUACGUGCAAAAGUGGUAUUUAUUGUAUUUUUCAAAAACACAAUUAACUGUGAAUAUAGUCCAAGAUUGGACCUUAUACACAGUUAAUUCUUUUUUUUGCAAAAUACAAUAAAUACCACUUUUGCACAUACUUGAGA